CCAGGGUAGGGAUCUAAUCAGAGCUGUAGCUGCCGGCCUACACCACAGCCACAGCAACACCAGUUCCAAGCUGCACCUGCGACCUACACCACAGCUCAUGGCAAUGCCGGAUCCUUAACCCACGGAGCAAGGGCAAGGGUCGAACCUGCAACCUCAUGGUUCCUAGUCGGAUUCGUUAACCCCUGAGCCAUGACGGGACCUCCUCAUGUGACAUUUUGAAAAGACAAAGCCGGAGCGAUGGAGAGCGGAUGGGCGGUCGCCGGGACAGGUGCGGGCAAGGGUGUGACUACGCGGGGGCAGCUGGGUGGUUUCUGGGCUGGAGGAACUGACUUGUAUCCUGACAGCGGCAGUGGUUACACAUCUACGCAUAUUCAAAGUUCAUACAAAUGUCCACAGAAGGUCCAUUUUAUUUAUUUAUUUUUUUUUGUCUUUUGUCUUUUUGUUGUUGUUGUUGUUGUUGUUGCUAUUUCUUGGACCACUCCCGCGGCAUCUGGAGGUUCCCAGGCUAGGGGUUGAAUCGGAGCUGUAGCCACCGGCCUACGCCAGAGCCACAGCAACGCGGGAUCCGAGCCGCGUCUGCAACCUACACCACAGCUCACGGCAACGCCAGAUCGUUAACCCACUGAGCAAGGGCAGGGAUCGAACCCGCAACCUCAUGGUUUCUAGUCGGAUUCGUUAACCACUGUGCCACGACGGGAACUCCAGAAGGUCCAUUUUAUUGCACGUCGACUAAAGAGGAAAACUCAGAGGGAUUGGUGUGCUCAUUCGGUCUCAGCCCCUCACUCCCCGACCCUCCUCCUCUUUCCUCAGCAGCCAGAACUUGCUCAGAACAGGCACUUCCGCCCCUACAUCUUUGAAGCCGAGCUAACAACCUGGCUUUGCGGCUCUGCGUACAAAGGCAGGGCAUUUUUGGGGGAAAGCAGGAAGGAUGAGGGAGGGAGAGGAGGAACUCCGUCGUCUCAGAACGUGGGACGUGUGUGACGCAGAGACCAACGGGCCUCAGGGGCCGGCUCUCCAGGGGGCACCGCGGGAAACGCUCCCACCAGGACCCCUUCAGAGCGAUUCCGUACAAGGUUCAGACCCCAGACGGUGGGGUGUAGUCCAAUGGAUUGUUCAGGAAAACAGGUCUGGCCCUGGGGAGAAGGACCUUGAAGGGUGAACAUCCAGGACGCCGGCCCUUCUUUGGGUCAGACCAGAGCACGUCCAAGCCGGCUGGAGUCCUGGCGUGAUCUCGUUUAUCCAAGGCCGUUCUUGUCCCCGUCGGCCACCACACCCAGCAGGACGCCGCAUCUCCUGGCAGCCCCUUUCGCACACGCUGGCCCUUCCCUCUGUGUCCCAGCUGCCACAUCCUCUCUGCCACCGCCCAUCGCUGCAUCUGUCCGUCAAAGGCGACGCGUCAUCCAUUCAUCUGCUCCUUCCUGCCCUCGUUCAAAACCCUCCCCGAGCCCCUCGUCUGUGCCGGGCACUGCGCUGAGGGGCAGGAAGGCCUAGGGCAGCGAGACCCACCUGGAGCUUCCAGCCUUGUCGGAAAGACGGCGACUGACCGCACGAUGAUUCCAACGCGGAUUUCAGUAAGAACCGUGCUACCGCCUGGCCGUGGAACCAUGUGGCCUGGUGAGAAGGCUCCCGGCCAGGCCAGGCUCCCCUGAGGAAGGGCGGUCACGCCGAGCCCCACAGAAGGAGCAGGAGUCGGCCAGGUUCAGAGCAGAGGGAAGGGCAUUCGAGAGUGAGGGAAUUGCCCAGCAAACCCCGAGAGGCCAGGGUGGCUCCCGUGCGGACCAGCGGGUGCCGGGGUCACAGCAGUGGACAGCGAGCACACCAUGACAGCUCUCCCCGGAAACAAUGGGGGACUCUUGCCACUGGCUUCGUGGCCUGCCUGGGCCUGUCCCUUCAAGUCCUGCCUCUGAAACAGAACGGUCCCUGAAGGGCCCAGCACAUGGGACCUGGAGUCGGACCUAGGCCUCCCGUGUGUGUGCAAACAGGCAACAGCUUACUCCCUGGGAGCCUCCCUGCCCCUCUGUAAGAUGGGCAUGAAGCUGCAACCAGGGGUUCCAGGAGAGAAGGCACACAAAGUCAUGAAAGGCCACGAUCACAGGGCCUGCCUCGUCGGCAGAGCCCCGUCCACGGUGGCUGGUGUUCUUGCUGCCCAUGUCAUUGGAGGCACCUCGGUCUCUACAGAGUCAAGUGAGGAGCUAACCCCGAGCCGGGCGGGGCUCCCAGGCCCUGGAUUCCUGCAGACCCAAGUCCAGGCAAUGACUCCCUUGGAAUGACAUUCCUUGGAUCCACGGAGCAUGUCUGAGGCGCGGACUGCAUUUGCCAGUGACCCGGGCUGGGGAGCAGAGGGCAGCGAAGACCCAGGAAGCUUCCCCGGAUGACAAAUACGUGCUGCCGGCGGACACGAGCCCACCGCCACCCCCUCCUCCUGCCCCGAAGGCUGGACACUCGUCCAGAGGAUUCCAGCGACGCUGCCGGUAACGAGAGCCCCAAGAUGUCCUCUCUGGGCGGAGGCGUCACGGGUUCUGCCUUCCCAGAAAAGCACCUUUGCUCCAGGGGGAGCUCGCCCUGGGACCGAGGAAGACGGGCCGUGUCCAGUUAUGGGUAGGAAUCCUGCAAGGGGGUGAGGCUAUUUUUUGCCACAUGCUCUAUCUCUCCAGCAGGCACAGUGACAUUGCCUGGGAUCCAAAUAUUCCCAGCCCUAGAAGGUCAUGCUACAGACCCGAAGGCCCGGCUCUCAAAGAGCCAGGCGGGGGGCGGGGGGCACAGGGAGGGGGUCCUGGUACCUUGAGCUGUCAUCCCGCCCAGCCCCUGGCCCAGCUCCAGCCCACCACCCACAGGACUUCUGUGGAACCGAUUCUCCUGGGCCCAGAGGCUGGUGGCCACUGUUUAUUUUUAGCCAAUGAUUCCCUGACAAUGAGAAUGUGGGUGGCCCCCGUGGAGGGAGGAGGCCGGGGACCGAGGGCCUGGAGGGCAGCGAGGACAGGGCGCCGUCCGAGCGCUCAGCUCCGCCCCUGCGUCCUCCCCCUCUGGGCGCCCCCGGGAGCAGGGUGACCAGCCCCGUGUUCCCCUUUCUCUCUUCCCUGAAGGCCCUAGUGACCGUGGGCUUUCGGUUCCUCUUUCUCGCCACCCCCAGGGCCCUGGGCCCCCGGGGUUCUCUGCUCGACCAGGGGGGAGUGGGACAGAGCGCCUCAACACCCCCCCCCUCCUGCCUCUGAAGAGCCGUCUCGGGCCCCCCCUUGGGCCCGCCGAGCCCCAGAGGGGGUGCUCAGGAGAUACGGGUGGGCUGAGGGAUGGACCGCCCGGCCCCCCCACGUGGGCAGAGGCCUGAAUCAUGAAGAAGCCUAAGGGGAAGUUCGAGGGGUUUGGGAACUUACAAAACCCUUAAGUCACUGUCCCUGGCUGCUAGUUCCUAUCUCCCCCCUCCACCCGCCCCAGGUCUCCGAGCCCCUGGGCCUCCUCCUCGCCUCAGGAAUCCAGAGGGACGGCCCCCCCCUGCCUCCUUGGCAGUUCUACCUUCAGCCUCCUCCCUUUCUAUUUAUUUGCCUGUGUCCACGGCAUGCGGAAGCUCCUGAGCAGAGAUCAAACCCUCGCCCCAGCAGGGACCUGAGCCACAGCAGGACAACACUGGAUCCUUAACCCACAAGGCCACCAGGGAGCUCCCUACCUUCCACCUCCCCUGACAAAAGGACACAGAGACUGUAAAUCACAUUUUCCCCUCAGAAUGAUUUCCCGUGCUUUCAGAUUCUUGGAAUCGAAAACAAAGCUGAUGUGUCCUGAGCUUCGGAGUAUGUGGCAGCCACUUUUCUGAGGACUCUUUUCAUCCUUACAACAGCCCCUGAUGGAGGUUCUAUUAUUAGCUCCAUUUUACAGACGAGAAAACAAAGUUCAGAGAAGCAAACUGACUUGCCUGAACAUCCCAGGGCUGUAGCAGCAGAAUCCAGGUUGACAGCAAAGUGGGGAAGGUUCAGCCUGAAAGGAGGCCCCAGUCAGGCUUCGUCAUUCACUACCGUUACCGCCUCGGCAUCCACUGGGGCGAACCACCCCUCAGCCUCACUAUCCCACCGAACCCUGUGGAAGCCUCUUCUUCCCAGAUCCCACCCCAGCGGGAACAUUUUGUGACUUAGCUGAUGAAAACACACCAAUGCUUUUCAAAUAUUACUUUAGAUUUUCAAACUC
rnacentral:lncRNA from 1 species